AGUCGUUUGGUCGACACAAAGCAAACAACUCUUUGUCCUUUUACUAAAGAACAUAGUUUGUUGUCCACCCACAAUGGUAUACACCAAUUUUUGGAGCCUUCCAUUUCUUAAAAAUGGAG
rnacentral:snRNA from 1 species